rnacentral:rRNA from 1 species
AGUGAACGCUGGCGGUAGGCCUAACACAUGCAAGUCGAACGGCAGCACAGUAAGAGCUUGCUCUUACGGGUGGCGAGUGGCGGACGGGUGAGGAAUACAUCGGAAUCUACUUUUUCGUGGGGGAUAACGUAGGGAAACUUACGCUAAUACCGCAUACGACCUACGGGUGAAAGCAGGGGAUCUUCGGACCUUGCGCGAUUGAAUGAGCCGAUGUCGGAUUAGCUAGUUGGCGGGGUAAAGGCCCACCAAGGCGACGAUCCGUAGCUGGUCUGAGAGGAUGAUCAGCCACACUGGAACUGAGACACGGUCCAGACGCCUACGGGAGGCAGCAGUGGGGAAUAUUGGACAAUGGGCGCAAGCCUGAUCCAGCCAUACCGCGUGGGUGAAGAAGGCCUUCGGGUUGUAAAGCCCUUUUGUUGGGAAAGAAAAGCAGCAGGUUAAGACCCCGCUGUUCUGACGGUACCCAAAGAAUAAGCACCGGCUAACUUCGU